rnacentral:rRNA from 1 species
AUCGAACGCUGGCGGCAGGCCUAACACAUGCAAGUCGAGCGGACGAAGCGAGCUUGCUCCUGGAUUCAGCGGCGGACGGGUGGGUAAUGCCUAGGAAUCUGCCUGGUAGUGGGGGAUAACGUCCGGAUACGGGCGCUAAUACCGCAUACGUCCAGAGGGAGCAAGUGGGGGAUCUUCGGACCUCACGCUAUCAGAUGAGCCUAGGUCGGAUUAGCUAGUUGGUGGGGUAAAGGCCUACCAAGGCGACGAUCCGUAACUGGUCUGAGAGGAUGGUCAGUCACAUGGGAAGUGAGACACGGUCCAGACUCCUACGGGAGGCAGCAGUGGGGAAUCUUAGACAAUGGGGGAGAGCCUGAUCCAGCGAAGCCGCGGGUGUGAAGACGGUCUUCGGAUUGUAAAGCACUUUAAGUUGGGGGGAAGGGCAGUAAGUUAAUACCUUGCGGUAAUGACGGUACCAGCAGAAGAAGCACCGGCUAACUUCGUG